UGGUAUAGCAUACAGGUGAGAUGUACUGGUACAUCAUCAUUGAACAUGACCAACUCCAGAGUAUUCUGCUGUCGAGAAUGUCUCUGAUGGGAUAUAGGUAUAAGUGUCCCUUAGACUUGAGAUUGCCUCAGUGACUUGCAAGCAACUCACUGUGCUUUGGUACUGGACUAACUAAAUUUCUAAUUCAGGGAUGGAAGGCUUUUGGGCACAGUCAAGUACUUGCGAAGUCAGAGUGUGAUCGAGAUGGGAUUGACCACUCCAAGAGUUGGAGAAGAAUGAGUCGCUGCAUUUCAAUUUAGCAAAACCUUGGCCAGGAUAAUCCAUUAGAUGGAUUUGAUAUUUUGAAAUACAAUGUGGACAACCUGAUCAGAGUUGACAGUUGAACUCUGAGGUAUCCUAUGAUCAUUUUGGUCAAGGGGAUGAAUUAUAUGAAAACUAUAUCCGCAUGGGUUCUAAGGAUGUUGUUCUACAAAUUCGACCUAUCCGAUCAUCGGGUACCAUUGCUAGAUGGUCACUUCGAUUGGUACAAAAAUUUAUU
rnacentral:lncRNA from 1 species